UAGGGAAUCUUCCGCAAUGGGCGAAAGCCUGACGGAGCAACGCCGCGUGAGUGAUGAAGGUCUUCGGAUCGUAAAACUCUGUUAUUAGGGAAGAACAAAUGUGUAAGUAACUAUGCACGUCUUGACGGUACCUAAUCAGAAAGCCACGGCUAACUACGUGCCAGCAGCCGCGGUAAUACGUAGGUGGCAAGCGUUAUCCGGAAUUAUUGGGCGUAAAGCGCGCGUAGGCGGUUUUUUAAGUCUGAUGUGAAAGCCCACGGCUCAACCGUGGAGGGACAUUGGAAACUGGAAAACUGGAGUGCAGAAGAGGAAAGUGAAAUUCCAUGUGUAGCGGUGAAAUGCGUAGAGAUAUGGAGAAACACCAGUGGAGAAGGCGACUUUCUGGUCUGUAACUGACGCUGAUGUGCGAAAGCGUGGGGAUCAAACAGG
rnacentral:rRNA from 1 species